GUCAGGACUACAGUAUAUGAAUUUUAGGGGAGCACAAUUCAGCCCAUAACACACUGCUGCUGGAACAAACUACUUUUGCCAGAGAGAAGGAGCAGCAUUCCUGGAUGCUGACAACAGGAACUGGAAGUCAAUAAGAAUAAACCAGAAGCAAAGAGGAAAGGAUGACAGCUUAUUUCUGCCAAAGAACGCUCUAACUCUUCAAAACCUGUGACUUCACUGAGCUGUGAGCAGUUCAGAAAUGGAAAAUCAGCAGAGCCUCCAGUUGCAUGGUUUGGGACCAAAGCCCAGCACCUCCCUGGACAAAUAUCAAGGGGCUCAUUUUGAUUCUCCAUCCUGGCCAUGUGGUCUCAGACUGCUUCAAGCAAACAGGCCUCUCUCUGCCAUCUGACCCGCCUGGGAUCCUCCUGCCUCAGCCCCACUCCUGCAAGUAGAACGUUCUCCAGUCCUGAGGAUGGCAUUGGGCCAUCAGGAAUCCACAGUCCACAGGCCCAGGAGCACUCGCUCUUCCCUUGUCCCACCCCCAAAAGGCCCCCAGCAAUACCUUCCCCAAGGCCACUGAUGGAGCCCUGAAAAGAGGCCUCAGCCCUGAAGGUUGAGCAGUGGCUGAUGCCACGGCACUGACCCUGGGCCACUCCUUGACUGGAUGCCUUUCCUGGGGCAUUUUCUGGCAAGUGAAUCCAGCCGCUGAAUUUCUCCAAGCAGUUUGUACUUCCAUGGCUGUGGCUCUCAGGAGAGGCGGGAUGAGUAGUGGUUUGGUUCCCUGCCUGAUGAAAGUGAGCCACAUCCAAGGACACAUUCCUUAUGAGACAUGUACUGCUUCUUCAACAGUCUCUGGCAGUGGUGAGCUCUAAUAGCAGAAAACGCCAUUGCAAUGAGCAAGGAUGAUGAAAAAGAGACUUUGAAACUCACUCAGAGGGGUCAUGCUCUGAGGGAAAAAGGCCCCCACAAAGACAUGCAGAAAUUGUCUUCCCACCUUUUAGAUGCCUGCAAUCAUGAAGUCAGCCGGAAAACCAAGCCUGGUCUGGGGCAACAGCAGGGAAGGAGGCCGCAGCUGUUACAGGGUAAUUAAAGUCAGGCAAAAUGCAGAGAGGGCCAGGAGGCUGAUGUGAGGUUAGGUGGGGUCAGACAGGACAUGGAUCAGCUCAGGCCUGUAAAAUGCCCAUCAGCUGUGGACACACAGGAACAGCCCAUCUAAGCACAACCAAGAGUAAGGAAACUAACAGCAGGGAUCUGACGGUCUUCCUUCACAGGCCACCAUCACCAGAUCCAUUUUCUCCCUCUCUUCUACUGCAUCUCCUUCAAGGAAGUUGAAGAAUCCCUGUUUCCUGUUAUCAGUUGAUUUUAUGAACAGGAAACUCUUUGUCCUAGCUGGUGGCAUAUUGAAUGGGUGGAUGAAUGAAUGAGAGAGCAAGAAGUCGGAAAAGUAUAUUUCACAGAUAGAACCAGCAACAAGGAUUGAGUUUUAGGCCAGGAUUUAUCACCUUCCCCAAAUUAUCUCUGAGGACUGCACUGACAGUUGAGUUUCCAAUGAGGCUAGGGGUAUGACCCUAUAGACUGGUACUAACCACAAGUGUAAUAAUAAUGCACUGGGAACUGUAUCUAGUCACUUAUGAUGGAUCAUGGCAGAGGAUAAUGUGAGAAAAAGAAUGUAUAUAUAUAUAUAUGUGUGUGUGUGUGACUGGGUCUCUUUGCUGUACUAUAGAAAAUUGACAGAACACUGUAAACCAGCUAUAACGGAAAAAAUAAAAAUCAUUUU